rnacentral:rRNA from 1 species
AGAGUUUGAUCCUGGCUCAGAUUGAACGCUGGCGGAACGCUUUACACAUGCAAGUCGAACGGUAACGCGGAGAGAAGCUUGCUUCUCUCCGGCGACGAGUGGCGAACGGGUGAGUAAUACAUCGGAACGUGUCCGCUCGUGGGGGACAACCAGCCGAAAGGUUGGCUAAUACCGCAUGAGUUCUACGGAAGAAAGAGGGGGACCCGCAAGGGCCUCUCGCGAGCGGAGCGGCCGAUGACUGAUUAGCCGGUUGGUGAGGUAACGGCUCACCAAAGCAACGAUCAGUAGCUGGUCUGAGAGGACGACCAGCCACACUGGGACUGAGACACGGCCCAGACUCCUACGGGAGGCAGCAGUGGGGAAUUUUGGACAAUGGGCGCAAGCCUGAUCCAGCUAUUCCGCGUGUGGGAUGAAGGCCCUCGGGUUGUAAACCACUUUUGUAGAGAACGAAAAGACACCUUCGAAUAAAGGGUGUUGCUGACGGUACUCUAAGAAUAAGCACCGGCUAACUACGUGCCAGCAGCCGCGGUAAUACGUAGGGUGCGAGCGUUAAUCGGAAUUACUGGGCGUAAAGGGUGCGCAGGCGGUUGAGUAAGACAGAUGUGAAAUCCCCGAGCUUAACUCGGGAAUGGCAUAUGUGACUGCUCGACUAGAGUGUGUCAGAGGGAGGUGGAAUUCCACGUGUAGCAGUGAAAUGCGUAGAUAUGUGGAAGAACACCGAUGGCGAAGGCAGCCUCCUGGGACAUAACUGACGCUCAGGCACGAAAGCGUGGGGAGCAAACAGGAUUAGAUACCCUGGUAGUCCACGCCCUAAACGAUGUUAACUAGUUGUUGGGAAGUAAAAUUCUCAGUAACGCAGCCAACGCGAGAAGUUAACCGCCUGGGAAGUACGGUCGCAAGACUAAAACUCAAAGGAAUUGACGGGGACCCGCACAAGCGGUGGAUGAUGUGGAUUAAUUCGAUGCAACGCGAAAAACCUUACCUACCCUUGACAUGUCAGGAAGCUCUUGUAAUGAGAGCGUGCCCGCAAGGGAGCCUGAACACAGGUGCUGCAUGGCUGUCGUCAGCUCGUGUCGUGAGAUGUUGGGUUAAGUCCCGCAACGAGCGCAACCCUUGCCUUUAGUUGCCAGCAUUAAGUUGGGCACUCUAGAGGGACUGCCAGGGAUAACCUGGAGGAAGGUGGGGAUGACGUCAAAUCAUCAUGCCCCUUAUGACCAGGGCUACACACGUGCUACAAUGGCGUAAACAAAGGGAAGCGAACAUGUGAGUGCAAGCGAAUCCCAAAAAUAACGUCUCAGUUCGGAUUGUAGUCUGCAACUCGACUACAUGAAGCUGGAAUCGCUAGUAAUCGCGAAUCAGAAUGUCGCGGUGAAUACGUUCCCGGGUCUUGUACACACCGCCCGUCACACCACGAGAGUUUACAACACCCGAAGUCAGUGGCCUAACCGCAAGGAGGGAGCUGCCUAAGGUGGGGUAGAUGAUUGGGGUGAAGUCGUAACAAGGUAUCCCUACCGGAAGG